AGAGUUUGAUCAUGGCUCAGGACGAACGCUGGCGGCGUGCCUAACACAUGCAAGUCGAGCGGGAGACUUCGGUCUUCAGCGGCGGACGGGUGAGUAACACGUGGGCAACCUGCCUUGUAGAGGGGGAUAGCCCUCCGAAAGGAGGAUUAAUACCGCAUAACAUUCUGCUGACGCAUGUCAGUAGAAUCAAAGGAGCAAUCCGCUACAAGAUGGGCCCGCGGCGCAUUAGCUAGUUGGUGAGGUAACGGCUCACCAAGGCGACGAUGCGUAGCCGACCUGAGAGGGUGAUCGGCCACAUUGGAACUGAGACACGGUCCAGACUCCUACGGGAGGCAGCAGUGGGGAAUAUUGCACAAUGGGCGAAAGCCUGAUGCAGCAACGCCGCGUGAGUGAUGAAGGCCUUCGGGUUGUAAAGCUCUGUCUUCUGGGACGAUAAUGACGGUACCAGAGGAGGAAGCCACGGCUAACUACGUGCCAGCAGCCGCGGUAAUACGUAGGUGGCAAGCGUUGUCCGGAUUUACUGGGCGUAAAGGAUGCGUAGGCGGAUAUGUAAGUCAGAUGUGAAAUUCCCGGGCUUAACUUGGGAACUGCAUUUGAAACUGCAUGUCUAGAGUGCAGGAGAGGAAAGUGGAAUUCCUAGUGUAGCGGUGAAAUGCGUAGAGAUUAGGAAGAACACCAGUGGCGAAGGCGACUUUCUGGACUGUAACUGACGCUGAGGCAUGAAAGCGUGGGGAGCAAACAGGAUUAGAUACCCUGGUAGUCCACGCUGUAAACGAUGGGUACUAGGUGUAGGGGGGUCCAACCUCCUGUGCCGCAGUUAACACAAUAAGUACCCCGCCUGGGGAGUACGGUCGCAAGAUUAAAACUCAAAUGAAUUGACGG
rnacentral:rRNA from 1 species